ACGCACGCUGGCGGCGUGCUUAACACAUGCAAGUCGAACGGAUAGGCCCUGCUUUUGUGGGGUGCUCGCGUGGCGAACGGGUGAGUAACACGUGAGUAACCUGCCCUUGACUUUGGGAUAACUUCAGGAAACUGGGGCUAAUACCGGAUAGGAGCUCCUGCUGCAUGGUGGGGGUUGGAAAGUUUCGGCGGUUGGGGAUGGACUCGCGGCUUAUCAGCUUGUUGGUGGGGUAGUGGCUUACCAAGGCUUUGACGGGUAGCCGGCCUGAGAGGGUGACCGGCCACAUUGGGACUGAGAUACGGCCCAGACUCCUACGGGAGGCAGCAGUGGGGAAUAUUGCACAAUGGGCGGAAGCCUGAUGCAGCAACGCCGCGUGCGGGAUGACGGCCUUCGGGUUGUAAACCGCUUUCGCCUGUGACGAAGCGUGAGUGACGGUAAUGGGUAAAGAAGCACCGGCUAACUACGUG
rnacentral:rRNA from 1 species